GCCCCGGUGGCACAGUGGAUAGUGUCUCUGCCUGCCAUGCAGGAGACCAGGGUUCAAUUCCCCGCCUGGGCA